rnacentral:misc_RNA from 1 species
CCUCUUCUUUUUUGUUUUUAAUUUAGUGGUGCGUCUGGCGGAGAUUGGAAAUGUUAUAUUGAGCUCGAAAUUUAGUAGGUUUGUUUGGAUAGCAUGAAAAAGGCUCACAUAGUGAAGCCUAAGCAGCUUAACAGUUCUACAAUAUUAACAUUUGGCUUCUGGUCUGACUCUGAAUUCGAUAGAGGGCAGAAAUUUUCCUCUUUCUUUUGCUGUGGAUUGUUUUAGUAUUGUUUUCAAGCUGUGGAAUAUAUGCUUGGUUUUGGGUGGGUUGGAAUAUCUCAAUUCUAGUUGGCCCUGCAAUUGGGACCUCAGCUUUUUAUGUUCCCCUCUAAAUAAUAAUAGAAGGGAUAACUUUAGAA